CCUACGGGAGACAGCAGUGAGGAAUAUUGGUCAAUGGACGAGAGUCUGAACCAGCCAAGUAGCGUGAAGGAUGACUGCCCUAUGGGUUGUAAACUUCUUUUAUAUGGGAAUAAAAUGUUCCACGUGUGGGAUUUUGUAUGUACCAUAUGAAUAAGGAUCGGCUAACUCCGUGCCAGCAGCCGCGGUAAUACGGAGGAUCCGAGCGUUAUCCGGAUUUAUUGGGUUUAAAGGGAGCGUAGGUGGAUUGUUAAGUCCGUUGUGAAAGUUUGCGGCUCAACCGUAACAUUGCAGUUGAAACUGGCAGUCUGGAGUACAGUAGAGGUGGGCGGAAUUCGUGGUGUAGCGGUGAAAUGCUUAGAUAUCACGAAGAACUCCGAUUGCGAAGGCAGCUCACUGGACUGCAACUGACACUGAGGCUCGAAAGUGUGGGUAUCAAACAGGAUUAGAUACCCUUGUAGUC
rnacentral:rRNA from 1 species